UGGUGGGACGCUCUGGAAGAUGUGGGAAAAGUGAGCGUGAUCGUUUUACAGCAGUGAGUGAAGGCCGUCUGAGAGGGAGCCGCUAUCAGCGAGAACAGAGCCAACCGACCGAGAGAAGGGAAGCUGAUCCGCUGACAUGGCGGGGUCCCUUAUCCACCAUUCCUUGAACUCUGAGGAAAACCAGCCGCCUUACCAUGAAGAUACUCAAGCAGCCUUAUGGAGAUGUCUGUGUGGUGAGGAACUCAAGUCUCCUGCCAACAGCCGUGAGGUGGAUGAUAAAUUGCAGAGUCUGAUGCAGCAGGUCUGAGAUGGGGCCCAAGAUUCUGCAUUUCCAGGAAGCUCCCAGGUUUAGUCUAUAUAAAAUAUUCCUGAACAUUAAGACUUUCGGUGGAAGCUGUUGGAAAAUCAUAUUAACAUCCCUAUGUCUGCCGACUUACAAGCUGGAUCACAUUGGAUAG